rnacentral:rRNA from 1 species
UACGUAGGGUGCGAGCGUUAAUCGGAAUUACUGGGCGUAAAGCGUGCGCAGGCGGUUUUGUAAGCCAGAUGUGAAAUCCCCGGGCUUAACCUGGGAAUGGCAUUUGGGACUGCAAGGCUGGAGUUUGGCAGAGGAGACUGGAAUUCCUAGUGUAGCAGUGAAAUGCGUAGAUAUCAGGAGGAAUACCGAUGGCGAAGGCAGGUCUCUGGGCUAUAACUGACGCUCAUGCACGAAAGCGUGGGGAGCAAACAGG